rnacentral:rRNA from 1 species
UACGUAGGGGCCGAGCGUUGUCCGGAGUUACUGGGCGUAAAGCGCGCGCAGGCGGCUCGUCAAGCCUGACGUGAAAGCCCCCGGCUCAACCGGGGAGGGUCGUCGGGGACUGGCGAGCUUGAGGUCGGCAGGGGCUGGUGGAAUUCCCGGUGUAGUGGUGAAAUGCGUAGAGAUCGGGAGGAACACCCGUGGCGAAGGCGGCCAGCUGGGCCGUACCUGACGCUGAGGCGCGAAGGCGUGGGGAGCGAACGGG